CGCUCUCAUGUCCCCACCCACCCCACACACGUCAGAAGCGAGCAGCGGAAGCCCAUCUGGUUGUGCCUUUUUACUCCCACGGUAUAUAUCUCAUCGCCGUCGAUCGCCAAGCACCUCGUCGUCGACCUCCCCCUCCCCCUUCCCCUUCCUCCUCCCCGCCUCCUCUGCAUGUGAGCAACUCAGAACACAGAGAGAGAGAGAGAGAGAGAGAGAGAGAGAGAGAGAGAGAGAGAGAGAGCAUAUGGACUGACUGAUCACUCGUGUCUUCUUCAUGACCUUUUAUGUUACUUCGACUGGCAACAGAUGGCAACUAAGGAAACUGGUGAAUCUGGUCACAGAUGCUAAAGCCAUUAAAUUUGCAGCUUCUUGUCCUCUUUUACUUUGACUGCCUCCAUUGCUCAUCUAAAAACAUGGUGAGAUUCUACAUGGAUAUUGAUCAUGAAGUGGGUGAUUGUUUCUGAAGCUGCAAGCAAAUUUAGCUCACAGAAAGCCAAGUUGGUGAGAGGUGGUGUCUCAUGAACUGUUGACAUCUCUGAGAGUAGUGUGUGUUCUGAAGCAUCAACUCUACUAGAGUGCUUCAAUGGAUGGCAGAAGAAAGAGACAUAGCAUUGCAGCUACUUCAAGAACUAAGCAUGGAGGAGUUGGAUCACAAGAACCAGACCAUAAAGCCUUCUCCUCCAAGUACUUCAGUGCAGAGUCUCUUCUGGUUCUGCUUUGCCUCACUGCCUCAUUGCUGAUACUUCCAGUGAUACUACCCACAUUGCCUCCACCACCUCUUGCAGUGCUGCUGCUUCCAAUAGGCAUCCUUGUUUUGCUCAUGAUCUUGGCAUUCAUGCCCUCAGAUGUAAGAAAGAUUGCAUCACCUUGUGAAUAAAUUGAGUAGGCCUUGUUCAGCCUUGAUGUUCAUGUUAGUAGCAAAAAUUUUCACAAUAUUCUUGUUCAUUUUCUACAAGUUUUAAGAUGUGCCAAAGAAAUUAAGCUAUUUAAUGUGUUGUUGUUUCUAGCCUCACAUCAUAGGAUUAUUUCCUUUCAGAAUUUUUACUUCACAAAUCUAAGUUGCUGGUCUUGAACAUGCAAUCUCUGGUUUCUUGAUGUCAGCACCAAGAGAUAUUGUGUAAGAAACCAGUGACAUUAGCAUAGCCAAAGGAAAGAAAUAUCAGUGACAUUAGCAUAGUCGAAGGAAAGAGAUAUGUGUUCAAAAUUCAUAUAUUUGCAAUCUUAGAUACAGUGGAUUGAUUUUGGA